CUACGGAAGGUCCGGGCGUUAUCCGGAUUUAUUGGGUUUAAAGGGAGCGCAGGCGGAGAUGCAAGCGUGACGUCAAAUUUCGGGGCUCAACCCCGUCUCGCGUCGCGAACUGCGUCCCUUGGUUGCGGGAAGGGGAGGCGGAACUCGUGGUGUAGCGGUGAAAUGCAUAGAUAUCACGAAGAACUCCGAUCGCGAAGGCAGCCUUCCGGCCCGUCAACGACGCUCAUGCUCGAAGGUGCGGGUAUCAAACAGGAUUAGAUACCCUGGUAGUCCGCACAGUAAACGAUGGACACCCGCGGUUUGGCCUGUAUGGCUGAGCCGCCAAGCGAAAGCGUUAAGUGUCCCACCUGGGGAGUACGCCGGCAACGGUGAAACUCAAAUGAAUUGACGGGG
rnacentral:rRNA from 1 species